rnacentral:piRNA from 1 species
UUGACAUAGAUGAGGCUACGGGACCAGUA